AUUGAACGCUGGCGGCAUGCUUUACACAUGCAAGUCGAACGGCAGCGCGGGCUUCUUCCUUGCGGCGAGUUGCGAACGGGCGAGUAAUUCAUCGGAACGUGCCCAGUAGUUGGGGAUAGCCUGGCGUAAGGAGGAUUAAUACCGCAUACGACCAGAGUGUGAAAGCGGUGGACCGAAAGGCCUCGCGCGACUUGAUGGCCCGAUUACGUAUUAGCUAGUUGGUGAGGUAAAGGCUUACCAAGGCGACGAUCCGUAGCUGGCCUGAGAAGCCGACCUGCCACACUGGGACUGAGACACGGUCCAGACUCCUACGGGAGGCAGCAGUAGGGAAUUUUGCGCAAAGGGCGCAAGCCUGAUGCAGCAACGCCGCGUGAGGGAAGAAGGCCUUCGGAUCGUAAAACGCUUUUAUUCGGGAAGAAAACAUCUGUGAUAAUCUGCGGAGGGGUUGACGGUACCGAAAGAAUAAGCACCGGCUAACUACGUG
rnacentral:rRNA from 1 species